rnacentral:lncRNA from 1 species
CAUACACCUUUAAAUAGUGAUAAGGAGAAUAUUAUUACCCCGCUGGUGGCCUAGUCAGAUAAGUUGUUUGUGGAGGACAGCCCGCAUUUCUUUCAAGCUCUCAUUCUGCUGCACCAGUAACUCCAGAUUACAUUCCCAGGGAAAUCAGCCGCCUCUUACUUGAAACUGCAAAGAGCAAUGGACAGUUUAGGGAGAGACCACGACUAUUCCAACACUUCUCUGCCUUCCUCCACAGCUCAAGAGAAGAACGCUGAGCCAGGUUCCACCAUGUUGUCCCGCUUGAGAGACCGGGAGCUGCUCCGGAAGAGAAGGGCAGAAGCCGAGGAGAAGGAUUCAAUUCAGUGGGCUCUGGGGGAGCACGAGAGAAGCAAACGGCAGAGGAGAGGUCAAGGUGCCAGGCGAGGAAAGGGCCGUGAGCACGCCGUGGAGCCGGCGCCGCAGCCAAAACCGAAGCCAAACCCUCAGCCCCCGAAGAAGGAGGAAGCUGAGCCGGUGUCCUCCACGGUGAUGCAGCAAGCCGAGUCAUCCCAGAUGGACAUGCAGGACCUGUUUGCUGGUGUGCAGCUGGCAGAUCUGGAAGGGAUACUGGCUUCUGGGAGCCAGAGUCCUCUGGGUGAAGAGGAUAUGCUGAAGCUGGCCGAUGAAAUACAAGAGGUACUGAAUACUUCACUGGAAAAGAACGAAUCCGAUAAUGACAUGUACCCAUCCAGCCUAUUUUAAAGUUUUAUUUAAUUAGAUAAGUAUUCUUGCAAUUUUUAUGACUAAGAAAUACUGACAGGCC